GGGGAGCAAUCCCCUGAGUACAGCGGCGCACGGGUGAGUAACACGUGGGUAAUCUGCCCUGGAGUGGGGAAUAACACCGGGAAACCGGUGCUAAUACCGCAUACGAUAGCGAGGUCUGCGGACUUUGCUAUGAAAGGAGCAAUUCGCUCUAGGAGGAGCCCGCGGCUGAUUAGCUAGUUGGUGAGGUAAUGGCUCACCAAGGCUACGAUCAGUAUCCGGUCUGAGAGGACGGUCGGACACACUGGAACUGAGACACGGUCCAGACUCCUACGGGAGGCAGCAGUGGGGAAUUUUUGGCAAUGGGGGCAACCCUGACCAAGCAACGCCGCGUGGGUGAUGAAGUCUCUUGGGACGUAAAACCCUUUCGACGGGGAAGAAAACCGCAAGGUUUGACGGUACCCGUAGAAGAAGCCCCGGCUAACUCCGUGCCAGCAGCCGCGGUAAUACGGGGGGGGCAAGCGUUGUUCGGAAUUACUGGGCGUAAAGGGCGCGUAGGCGGUGCUCUAAGUUAGAUGUGAAAACUCUGGGCUCAACCCAGAGCCUGCAUCUAAAACUGGAGUGCUAGAGUUCUGGAGGGGGUAGCGGAAUUCCUGGUGUAGCGGUGAAAUGCGUAGAUAUCAGGAGGAACACCGGUGGCGAAGGCGGCUACCUGGACAGAAACUGACGCUGAGGCGCGAAAGCUAGGGGAGCAAACAGGAUUAGAUACCCUGGUAGUCCUAGCCCUAAACGAUGGAUACUUGGUGUGACUGGGAUUGAAUCCCAGUCGUGCCGAAGCUAACGCAUUAAGUAU
rnacentral:rRNA from 1 species